AAAUGUUUAUUUAUAUCAAAAUACAAAACAUUUCUGAAGCAGAGUAAUGUUACAUGAGAAGCAAUUAAAUCCUAAUCUUUUUUAAUAGUUUAACUUGCAACACUCCCAGCAUACCUUCACUGGCUACACAUCUUGUCUCCUGAUGUGCCCUUUUUUCUCCCUUUGCUUGUUUGCCCAUAUCCGUGUUGGCUUGUUUUGCUCUUUAACUUACUAUAUGAACAUGCAGUGUUACUGGCGAUGCAUUGGUUAGUAUCUGGCAAGCCUGGAAAUGCCAGCGAGGGGAGCCUGGCACAGUGCCUUGAGCCAAGGCUGGCCACAGGUCCUCUCCUAACUGGGUUUGGGCUGUCACUCAGCUUUCAACUGGCAAGAGUCUAAGGCCAAAGGUUACUGUCUGUGGUAGGCAGGGCAGGCGUUAUUGCUUAGGCCACAGAGCAAGUGUGGCUGAGGGGCACCUCCAGCCAGGUCUUCUUGGUGGAUUGGGAAGGAAAAGGUUGGACAGCCUGGAGGGGUGGCAGCUAGAACAGGCCUAGGCCCUGGACCGGAGGUCAGGGGGCCCUGCAGGAGGAACUCCCUCUCCAGAAAAGCAAGCAGGAUGUGGGGAGGAGAAAAGUUCCUCCCUAUCCUGACAGUCUGUAAUUUGGUGGUUGAAAGUGCCUGUCUCUUGGACAGGCCCUUUGUAAGUGCUUAGACUUUGGAGAUUUUGAAAGCACCUGGUUGAGAGUGUAGCUGUUUCCAUAAACCUCCAUCCCAUGACAGGAAAAGGAAGGAGACAGGAAACAGAGGAGGACACCCUCCCCUCUCAUUACAACCAGCCCACUCCCAGAGCCAGCUGGGCCUCCCCUUCAGGCCCCCAGUUGGUGCAUCCACUUUGGCACUGUGCACCUGUGGCACACCCACACAUGUGUACAUACACCUCAGCCCCUACACAGUGCACACACACGCACACAUGCACACACACACGCACACACACACUCAUGCCUGGUGUCUUUCCUGAAUCCACUCAGGAAACAGAACUGUGUCCCAUCUUAUCAUCAUCCUCUGUUCCAAGGGGUCUCCCUGGCCCACAGGUCCCCAGACCCAGCCCCAGGCUUGGCACAUGCUGGCAUUCCCAGGCUUUUGAAAAGAGGUGACAGAGCAGGGCGCUCACCAGAGACAGGUUGUACAGAGUGUAGAAUAUGUUCAUAUAAGGCUUUGGUACAGCACCGAUUAAAUGUUCUUAUCAUUUGAGUUCUAAGUUGUCUCUUAGAAGAAAAAAAAAAAGCUUACUGAAAAAAUAGUGUUUUUAUUUACUUUUGAGUUACAUACCUGAAGUUCAAAAAGUAAGCCUCUAGUUGCCAUUCAGAUUCACACUCAAAGGUGUUUGUGUGCAGCUGUACAAUUUGUUGGUUUGUCUUUAAUAGUUAACCAAAGUCAGCCAACCAAUACCAUGAAGUCAGCUGCCCAUGAUAACUGACUUUAGCCAGUCCAUACAUACAGAAGAAAGAGAACACAAAAGCCACCCCUGCGUCUCCCACCCCAAACCCCGAGGGGAAAAAAUCAAAUAGAAGACAAAAUACAGCAAGAUUGAAGGAACCAGUGGGACAAAGGAGGUUCAGUCCAGCUGGCCUCUUCAAGAACAGCACCAUAAAGCACCCUAGCGCAGUUACGUUGUAGUACUCGACAUUCAAGAAAUGGAGACGAGGUUUGGAAGGUCUCACAAGAAGACCAGGCAUGGAUGGGGGCAACCCCCAAAGAAAGUUAAAGAAGAAAAAAAGUUUGCCAUGAGAGCAAGAACUCCCACAACCAAACUGAGGGUCAUACCCAGAUCCCUCAGAAAAGAGCUAAUCCAAGAGGCCGCUAGGCAUCCAGAGGUACGGAGCCAACGGGGCCUUGGGAAGUGGCAUCAGACCCCUCCCAGCCCACCCUCUGUAUGUCUACAGACCACUGGGUGAAAUGGGAAAAAAAAAUCCAUACACAUUGCUUCCAAGAUGUGAGAUGGAAGAAUUAUACCCAGGGUGAUAAAGUCUCUCCAGUAGAAGAGAAAAAGUUGGAGACAAGCGGAACUGGGUGGCACUGACAUGAAGCUGAUGGACUCCUUCCAGGUCAGUGGCUGCAGAAAAGAAGGAGCAACUGGUGAAAGCACACCCAUCUGCACCCUCUAUCUCUGGCCCCACAGAUGGUAAUUCAGAAAGGAAAUCUGAAUGAGGCAUUUAGACCUUUUAAGAUCGAUGUAUGUGGCUUGGCAAGUGGAGCUUUAAGCUGCUAUUCUUCCCUAAACCAGCGAAUGAGUCUAAGGUCCCAGCGAUCAAGACCACUGCACAGAGCAUCCCCUCUCUAAGCCCUGGCACAGCAGCACAGAAGAGAUUCCCAUGUGCCAGUAUCAGGGCCAGUCCCUUAGGGGCAGGGAGUGUGCUAUGUGGGUUCUCCUGUUCUCCCACCUCCUGCUCUGAUGUUGCCCAGAAUGGGUUAACAUGAACACCUACAUCAAAGAGGAGUGGAAGGGCCAAAGAGCAAUGGACAGACCCCUCUUCCCCAAGUCACUGCUUGAUGACCAAUGGGAAAUGUUAUGGCCCACAUUGAUCCUUGGGUGAGCAGCUUGCAGUGAAUCUGUCUACUCCAAACUCUUGUUCCAUAGAGCAGAGGUAGCAAAACUGAAACAACUCUAUAGACCCCACCACCACCACCUACCAAAAGGGGAAAGCACCAAAAGUCAACAUCCCUUCCACCACAGUGGGAACGAGGAGUGUGGCACAAACACAUGGGACAGCUCCUGUUCCUGAUAGUAGCUACGGGCCUCUAAGACCUAAUCAGAGCACCCGUCCCACCAACCUAUCCCAUUAACUGAGAAGUUCAAAGGUAGGAAGUUGUGCUUACCCCACAUAUAAUCAGAUCUCAAUGCAUUUUUGUCUGCAAAAGGCUGGCUCUUCAGAGAAACUGAAGUUCUUGGCUGGGCUGUCUGUCCUUUCGUGCCAGUGUCUACCCUUUCACCGUCCUUCUGGGGCUAAGAACCAGGAUCAUGGAAAGGGUAGAGAUAAACAUUACAUCCCCUCCAGACUCCAGAAUUUCAAGAUAGGAGCUAUGCCCCUUGUUCACUUUUCUUCCCAUAGAUGAAGAGUCCAGUUGGAGGUUGAAGGAUGGGAUGGGGAUGCAUGGGUCAGUGACUCUUGCUCUUGUAUAACUUGAUGCUAGAGACCAAGCCUGGGGUUUCAUGUGGAAAGAAGCAGAGUUUUAGAGUAACCCCAGACCUAGGAGGAGUACGACCCUAUGAGGGCCCUAUGAUGCUAAGGUGAUUUAUCCUGCAGUUUGUAUGGUACCACAAAUGGGACAGGGUCUGUGGAGAGAGAGGGUCACUCUAAGAGCCAAAAUAAUGGUAAUGGAAAGCCCUCUUGGUGUGGAGGCUUUGGCAGUUUGGAAGAGGCGGCAAGCUAGGAAGGGCUAUUGAAUGUGCUGCUUUUCCUCUUGAUCAACCUCCCUGAAAAAUCAUAUAAGAAACUUCUGGCUGUAUGCUCCUUCGGCCUCCUGAGAAGACCAUAGGAAAGUGGAGUCACCUGCCAAGGACAGACACAUGCCAGUUGGACCCAGUGUUGGAGCUCUCCCAGUAAUGCAUGGACAGAGCCCAUUUUCCUUCAGUGUCCUUGGGAAAUGGGAACUGUCUCGAGCAGGUGUGCCAGGGACUCAAUGACUGUCCCCACAGAAGGGUCAGGAGUCAAACUUAAGCUCCGCCCCCACCUACUUUGUGCAUAAUACCCCAAACUGUAAAAAGCCCUCCUAUGGCUGAGGUAUCCAAAAGCCAGCAUGACACUCUGGUUGGGAAGGAGGAGUUAGUGUUGCCUUUUUUCAGUUGACCAGCAGGAUGCAGACAGAGGGAUUGCAGCCACAAGUCUCUCCUGGCUGCCUGCACUAUCUGGCCCUGCGCCAGCUUCAGACACAUCACUCUGAGCUCUUAGCAAGUCAGAGAAAGAGCUAGCACCCAGAGGCAAUUGUUGAGGCCACAAGGUACAUGGUCCUUGCAGCAUAUGUGAGGUCUUAAGUUCUCAGAGAGGUAUUCUUCAGGGCACACAAGGUUUCCUGCUCAAAUGCAAGUGAGCACCUACUCCCCAGAAUCUCCAGCUCUGGGUCAAGCCCUUCCAACACACUGUUGAGCUCUAGAUGUCCCAGGCCAGGUACCAGAAGGAGUUCCACCGGCCCCAUGGUUCUCAUCACACCUUGAGUUCUCCUCUCAUUCCUCCUCCUCCACCCAGUACCCCAGGAUUGGACCAUUCCAAUGCCACCUACUUUCCAAUUAAAAUAAUAACUGGAAAAAGCAUCUAUGAUAUGAUUAUACCAGAUAUCACAUCCACACUGGUUCCAAGAAUCUGCAGCAAAAAUGACCAAGUUGUUUUUCAAGACUGAGUCCAUGCAGUCAGCCUCACAAAAUUCUUUUGAGAUGCCACACCCCUCAGGGGUGCUCCAGUCAGGGUGUUGCCAGCCAGGACAGGUGCUGCUGUCGGCCCCCAGGUAAACUUUCCUUUCAGUGAUGCCAAGCCAGAGCCCUUCCAAGGGCCUGGGCACCACCCCAGCAGUACUAGGACGGACUCAGAGUAUUUAGCUCUCCACACUCACUAUACGAAGCACAUGUGCCAAAGCUUUCAAGCCAUGGUGUCCCCUCCCAGUGACAAGAGAUGCCAUGAAUCCUGGCUCUCCAGGGCUAUCAGAUCCAGUAGCACCCACAACCCUUGGCUCAUUUGUCCUUUCUAUAAGAGGAUUGUUUGUUACUUUUUAAAAUUUUCAUAUAUACACAUAGCACAUCACAAACACACCUUACCACAAACAUACCAUACCAUACACACCACAAACACACCAUACACACACACCAUGCAGACGUCACAUACCAUAGGCAUGUUCACUGGCAUAGACACACACACUUUCUUCCUGAGCCCAGGAAAGGAAAAUGGGAUAGACAGCUAGCUAGGGCUAGAGACCAGGGAGAUAGCCUGGUGACCAUAGAGGGACAGGUGAGACAGUCCCACUUCUUUGCCCAAGCCAGGACACUGUCUGCUCAUGACAGACCCCUAAUGGUUUGCAGUAGGCAAUAAAAAUAUUCAUUGAGAGUGAUUGAUAAUUUCCCUUCCACAGACUGCAAGAUGAUCACAAGGAGGUCUAUUCUCCAUGCCAGGAACAAGAUCUCUCAAAUGCCUUAAGCCAGGAGGAAGCAAAAGCCUCUAAGCCCUCAUUACCAAUACGAGGAGAGUUGGCAUUUGCCCCUUCCUUCUAUGUAUGUGAAAACCCCAUACAUCAUCCAGAAGCAAGCUCGCAGUCUUUCUAAGACUGAAAAUGCAACCCCUCUCUCCUCAGCCCAAGCCCCUUCCAGGUUCCCCUUCCCACCCAACCACUCUC
rnacentral:lncRNA from 1 species